CCUACGGGGGGCAGCAGUGGGGAAUAUUGCACAAUGGGCGCAAGCCUGAUGCAGCCAUGCCGCGUGUGUGAAGAAGGCCUUCGGGUUGUAAAGCACUUUCAGCGGGGAGGAAGGCGGUGAGGUUAAUAACCUCAUCGAUUGACGUUACCCGCAGAAGAAGCACCGGCUAACUCCGUGCCAGCAGCCGCGGUAAUACGGGGGUGCAAGCGUUAAUCGGAAUUACUGGGCGUAAAGCGCACGCAGGCGGUCUGUCAAGGCGGAUGUGAAAUCCCCGGGCUCAACCUGGGAACUGCAUUCGAAACUGGCAAGCUAGAGUCUUGUAGAGGGGGGUAGAAUUCCAGGUGUAGCGGUGAAAUGCGUAGAGAUCUGGAGGAAUACCGGUGGCGAAGGCGGCCCCCUGGACAAAGACUGACGCUCAGGUGCGAAAGCGUGGGGAGCAAACAGGAUUAGAUACCCGGGUAGUC
rnacentral:rRNA from 1 species